UACGGAGGGUGCAAGCGUUGUCCGGAAUUAUUGGGCGUAAAGCGCACGUAGGCGGAUACUUAAGUUAGGGGUGAAAUCCCGGGGCUCAACCCCGGAACUGCCUUUAAUACUGGGUAUCUCGAGUUCGAGAGAGGUGAGUGGAAUUCCGAGUGUAGAGGUGAAAUUCGUAGAUAUUCGGAGGAACACCAGUGGCGAAGGCGGCUCACUGGCUCGAUACUGACGCUGAGGUGCGAAAGCGUGGGGAUCAAACAGG
rnacentral:rRNA from 1 species